UAGGAUCUUUUUUACUAUAAACAUGAUUAUGUAAUUAUGAUCUGUUUAUUGAUGUUUUGUUGGAUUUAAUUGUGCAUUACUUGCCUUUGGAGCAAUCUGUUAACUGUACCAGCUGCAGGAAGAUCAUUGGAGCAGUCUCCUGUCUGUUAAAGAUUCUCAACAAGUCAAUUCAGUUGUCAAUUAGUCCUGAUUGGGUUGGGGCUGGCAAUGGUGAUGGGCUUAGCUAUCUACUUGCUUCUUUGGACAAUCGAAUACCGCAUCACUACUGACGAGACCGAACUAAUCAGACUAAUCUGAAUGUGCACUACGCCAUUUAUCAAUUGAAUUUCAACUAUAGAUUUGGCAUUCGAGUCUAGGAAGAGUGAAACACCAUAGCGAUAGGAAACAAUAUGAUCUUGCUAAUAUUGGAGGAGUAGAUUUGAUGAGGAGGCAGGAAAGGAGCUACUUGAGAUAUUAAAUAUGCUUUGCUGAUGGGUUGAGGAUCCUAAUUCAGAGGCCUUCAAAUUGCAUUUGCCAAGAAUCUAUGAUUAUAUCUGGGUUGCUGAAGAUGGCAUGAAAAUGCAGGGAUAUAAUGACAGCCAAUCAUGGGACACUGCAUUUGUUGUCCAAGCAAUCAUAGAAGAACUAUCAUCAUAUCUGGCUAGCAAAUUUUGUAGCCGGAGGUGAACGAUGUUCGGCCUUCCAGUUGGUGGGGGCUUGUAGAGAAAUCCUGGGGCAUUUCACAGAAGUAUUCCCACGUGCUUCCAUUUUACUCGAAUUUUGAUCAGAAGAAGCUGCAAUUGCAAUUGCAGAAGGAGAAGAUAGGAGAUGAUGAAACUCACUUAUGUACUUCAUUCUCAACUUAGUAAUUAGCACUAUUGUGAUAAUAAUGCAUACUGUAUUGAUCUUUAUAAAAUUUUCUGAGCCAUUUGUGGUUAAUGAUUGUUCAGAUCAAACUUCUAGCAA